UCUUCUUGCAGAUCCAUGCCAUUUUUCCUCUAGCCUUAAAAUAAAUAACGAUAUCUUUCACCUGAGCUGCGCUACAAUAAUAAUAAUUUAAUUUUCAUUAUUUUCGGUGGAAUAUAUUAUAAUAUUGUCGGAUCGAUACUACAUCCACGAUCGCGUGCAUCGUGCCAGCAGCUGGUACUUUCUUUAUUUACCUGCAAAUUUUACAACGUACGACGUACGUGCUUCUCAGGAGCGCACAUUUCCGCAUCGUCUUUCUUCCUUCACCAUGUUUUACCUCAUCGGCUUUGACCGGCUCUAUUGGCAGAGACCCUCUUUGGCCACAAUCUUAGCAGUGCCGCAGGGGAUCGGAGAUCUGAUCCCGCCAGCGGGUCACUACUUUCGGUAGCCAGGAAUAACUCUUGCGUGCCCGCAGAUAACGAUAUGCCCACCAUUGAUUACCAGGGGUUUAACCUUUCUGGUCUUCCGAUUCAUAUGAGAGAGUGGUCCUUGAUGCCAUGGGCCCCUCGUGACAUGAUUCCUGUCGCGCGAGGCUGGGGCCUCUGGCCUGGGUGACCUUUGGGUGCGGCCACUGCCAUGGCCUUCUCUCCGCCUUUCCGCCGUAGCUCCUCGUCCUCUCGGGAGUUCUAAGGGAUGCGCUCCUGGCUGGAUUGUGGCAGCCAUGAUGCCGCUGCUGUGUCGCUGUGUCGACAAUGUGGCGUCCCGUCCGCUGCAGCAGGUACCAGAGAUCGACGGGAACCACGGAAAAUAAUGUCGCCAACACUCCAUACAUGCGUCGCCGAAUCCAGCGCUGGGCUUCAGCUUCGAUACGUAAACCGAGUCGUAUCCGAUUUCCCACCGCCAGACGGAGCCCUGUCCAGCAUUACCGAGGCGUAUUAGAGACGGACCGAGUCCCAUCCCAGCCAGACAGAAUCGUAUCCAGCAUGAUAGAAUCGCAUAGAAGUCAUCGUCAUCCUUUUAAAUGGCCACCAAGGACUUUGACUAUGGCAACUAAGGGAGCGGCUACGCGGGCUACUAGGUUCUAGAUAGAUCUCAUCAUUGUUAGAUUUAAGGAUAUACAAGUCUAUAGUAGAUGUAUAUGAUGUAUAGAUAUAUGUAUAUAU